CCUACGGGAGGCAGCAGUGAGGAAUAUUGGUCAAUGGGCGGGAGCCUGAACAAGCCAAGCCGCGUGAGGGAAGAAGGUACAGCGUAUCGUAAACCUCUUUUGUCAGGGAACAAAGGCGGGGACUAGUCCCCGGAUGAGGGUACCUGAAGAAAAAGCAUCGGCUAACUCCGUGCCAGCAGCCGCGGUAAUACGGGGGAGGCGAGCGUUAUCCGGAUUUAUGGGGUUUAAAGGGUGCGCAGGCGGCCUGUUAAGUCAGCGGUAAAAGCCCGGGGCUCAACCCCGGCGAGCCGUUGAAACUGGCGGGCUGGAGUUGGAGAGAAGUACGCGGAAUGCGCGGUGUAGCGGUGAAAUGCUUAGAUAUCGCGCAGAACCCCGAUUGCGAAGGCAGCGUACCGGCUCCACACUGACGCUGAGGCACGAAAGCGUGGGUAUCGAACAGGAUUAGAUACCCCAGUAGUC
rnacentral:rRNA from 1 species